GACGAACGCUGGCGGUGUGCUUAACAUAUGCAAGUCGAACGGAAAGGCCCUGCUUUUGUGGGGUGCUCGAGUGGCGAACGGGUGAGUAACACGUGAGUAACCUGCCCUUGACUUUGGGAUAACUUCAGGAAACUGGGGCUAAUACCGGAUAGGAGCUCCUGCUGCAUGGUGGGGGUUGGAAAGUUUCGGCGGUUGGGGAUGGACUCGCGGCUUAUCAGCUUGUUGGUGGGGUAGUGGCUUACCAAGGCUUUGACGGGUAGCCGGCCUGAGAGGGUGACCGGCCACAUUGGGACUGAGAUACGGCCCAGACUCCUACGGGAGGCAGCAGUGGGGAAUAUUGCACAAUGGGCGGAAGCCUGAUGCAGCAACGCCGCGUGCGGGAUGACGGCCUUCGGGUUGUAAACCGCUUUCGCCUGUGACGAAGCGUGAGUGACGGUAAUGGGUAAAGAAGCACCGGCUAACUACGU
rnacentral:rRNA from 1 species